rnacentral:rRNA from 1 species
AGAGUUUGAUCAUGGCUCAGGACGAACGCUGGCGGCGUGCUUAACACAUGCAAGUCGAACGAUGAGGCCCUUCGGGGCGGAUUAGUGGCGAACGGGUGAGUAACACGUGGGCAACCUGCCCUCCACUCUGGGAUAACUCCGGGAAACCGGGGCUAAUACUGGAUACGACCCUCCCUCGCAUGGGGGUGGGUGGAAAGUUUUUCGGUGGAGGAUGGGCCCGCGGCCUAUCAGCUUGUUGGUGGGGUGAUGGCCUACCAAGGCGGUGACGGGUAGCCGGCCUGAGAGGGCGACCGGCCACACUGGGACUGAGACACGGCCCAGACUCCUGCGGGAGGCAGCAGUGGGGAAUAUUGCACAAUGGGCGAAAGCCUGAUGCAGCGACGCCGCGUGAGGGAUGACGGCCUUCGGGUUGUAAACCUCUUUCAGCAGGGACCAAGCGUGAGUGAGUGUACCUGCAGAAGAAGCACCGGCUAACUACGUGCCAGCAGCCGCGGUAAUACGUAGGGUGCGAGCGUUGUCCGGAUUUAUUGGGCGUAAAGGGCUCGUAGGCGGCCUGUCGCGUCGGAAGUGAAAGCCCACUGCUUAACGGUGGGUCUGCUUCCGGUACGGGCAGGCUGGAGUAUGGCAGGGGAGACUGGAAUUCCUGGUGUAGCGGUGGAAUGCGCAGAUAUCAGGAGGAACACCGGUGGCGAAGGCGGGUCUCUGGGCCAUUACUGACGCUGAGGAGCGAAAGCGUGGGGAGCGAACAGGAUUAGAUACCCUAGUAGUCC